rnacentral:lncRNA from 1 species
UCCGUUUACAUCAAAUGCUGGUUCCUAAUGUAUUUUUCUCUCAUGUCUAAGUGCCCAGGAUAAGCAGUCUGAUCCAGACCAGCACAGCUGCAGGCAGAUCCAGAGGCUGGAGCAAAACCACCCAUCCAAGGCCUACCCUGGAAAGAGCUGCAUAGGCAUACAAGCUUCAGUCAGAGAUCCACCUCAUAGCAUGGGUGGUUUGAACCCAGAAACUGAUGUACUGGUGUGUGGGGAUCAUGAGUAUUGGUUUCCAUUUGAGAUCACAAAUAGCUGUGCAUGAGGUCCUGUGAGAACACAAAGAAAGGGCACCUCAGAUUCUGAGAAGUGAGCAGGGCAUCUGUCGUCGUGGAACUUAAAAUGAGCCUUGAAGAAGGAAAGGGAAAAAGGAAGAAGCUUAUUUCACCCAGAGGCUAAAAGACUUCAUGGUACCCUUAUAGGAUCUGCAGGUACAUUUUUGUGUCCUUUGUCACAAAAGAGCGUGUCAGAGAUUGGGAAACACGA